GCUGACUUCAAGAAUGAAGCCACGGACCUUCACGAGAAAUAUUACGUUGUAUGGAUGUACCACUGUUUGUUUAUCCAUUCUUCAGGUGAAGGACAUGUGGGUUGUGCCCAGCGCGGGCUGAAUAAAGUCCAUCGCCUUGGCUUAGUGCAUGUCACCAAAAAUUCUCCAGGAAUUUCAUAGUUUGGACCUUGGUGGCAUGGCUG
rnacentral:lncRNA from 1 species